GCAAUUUAGAAGAUGCAGAAACAAAGGAUCUCUUAGUUGCAGCAGAGGCAUUUUCAGAAUUGAAUCACUUAAGCCCGGUUCAAGGAACUGAAGCUUCUCUUUGUGCACCAUCAGUCUAUGAAGGGAAAAUCUUCACCCAGAAGUCACCAGUGUUGGACGAAGGAUUAACAUCUGUUGAAACCUACACCUCUGCAAUUAGAGCAAAUGACAAUAAAUGUAU
rnacentral:lncRNA from 1 species